rnacentral:rRNA from 1 species
CGCCUCCCAAAAGGUAACGGAGGCGCUCAAAGGUUCUCUCAGUACGGUCGGAAAUCGUACGUAGAGUGUAAAGGCAAAAGAGAGCUUGAUUGCAAGACAUACAGGUCGAGCAAGGAUGAAAAUCGGACUUAGUGAUCCGGUGGUUCUGCGUGGAAGGGCCAUCGCUCAACGGAUAAAAGCUACCCUGGGGAUAACAGGCUUAUCUCCCCCAAGAGUCCACAUCGACGGGGAGGUUUGGCACCUCGAUGUCGGCUCAUCACAUCCUGGGGCUGUAGUAGGUCCCAAGGGUUGGGCUGUUCGCCCAUUAAAGUGGUACGCGAGCUGGGUUCAGAACGUCGUGAGACAGUUCGGUCCCUAUCCGUCGCAGGCGUAGGAAAUUUGAGAAGACCUGUCCUUAGUACGAGAGGACCGGGAUGGACG